AACGAACGCUGGCGGCAUGCCUAACACAUGCAAGUCGAACGAGACCUUCGGGUCUAGUGGCGCACGGGUGCGUAACGCGUGGGAACCUGCCCUUAGGUUCGGAAUAACUCCCCGAAAGGGGUGCUAAUACCGGAUAAUGUCUUCGGACCAAAGAUUUAUCGCCUUUGGAUGGGCCCGCGUUGGAUUAGCUAGUUGGUAGGGUAAAAGCAUACCAAGGCGACGAUCCAUAGCUGGUCUGAGAGGAUGAUCAGCCACACUGGGACUGAGACACGGCCCAGACUCCUACGGGAGGCAGCAGUGGGGAAUAUUGGACAAUGGGCGAAAGCCUGAUCCAGCAAUGCCGCGUGAGUGAUGAAGGCCUUAGGGUUGUAAAGCUCUUUUACCCGGGAUGGUAAUGACAGUACCGGGAGAAUAAGCUCCGGCUAACUCCGUG
rnacentral:rRNA from 1 species